CUCUCACUUGAAGGUGGAUAAGCAAUUUUUCCAAGACCUGCUACAGAGCGGGAGCCAAGUUAAGGAAAGCCAUAAAGUGCCAACAACCGAAAAAUUUUAGGAUCUGGUGAGCUGUGUCAGAACAAAUGAAGAAUGCAAGGAGGAAUCAACGUUUCAGCAAUAAAGACUUUAAAAAU